ensembl:miRNA
UUAGGUUGGUGCAAAAGUAAUUGUGGUUUGUGUCUUUAAAAGUAGUGGCAAAAACCACAACUACUUUUGCACCAACCUAAUA